rnacentral:rRNA from 1 species
GCUACGGGAGGCAGCAGUGAGGAAUAUUGGUCAAUGGACGAGAGUCUGAACCAGCCAAGUAGCGUGAAGGAUGACUGCACUAUUGGUUGUAAACUUCUUUUAUAUGGGAAUAAAAUGUUCCACGUGUGGGAUUUUGUAUGUACCAUAUGACUAAGGAUCGGCUAACUCCGUGCCAGCAGCCGCGGUAAUACGGAGGAUCCGAGCGUUAUCCGGAUUUAUUGGGUUUAACGGGAGCGUAGGUGGAUUGUUAAGUCAGUGGUGAAAGUUUGCGGCUCAACCGUACAAUUGCAGUUGAAACUGGCAGUCUUGAGUACAGUAGAGGUGGGCGGAAGUCGUGGUGUAGAGGUGAAAUGCUUAGAUAUCACGAAGAACUCCGAUUGCGAAGGCAGUUCACUGGACUGCAACUGACACUGAGGCUCGAAUGUGUGGGUAUCAAACAGGAUUAGAUACCCCAGUAGUC